UACGGAGGGGGCUAGCGUUGUUCGGAAUUACUGGGCGUAAAGCGCACGUAGGCGGACCAGCAAGUUAGGGGUGAAAUCCCGGGGCUCAACCCCGGAACUGCCUUUAAAACUGUUGGUCUGGAGGUCGAGAGAGGUGAGUGGAAUUCCGAGUGUAGAGGUGAAAUUCGUAGAUAUUCGGAGGAACACCAGUGGCGAAGGCGGCGCACUGGCUCGAUACUGACGCUGAGGUGCGAAAGCGUGGGGAGCAAACAGG
rnacentral:rRNA from 1 species